UGGGGAAUCUUGGACAAUGGGGGCAACCCUGAUCCAGCCAUGCCGCGUGAGUGAUGAAGGCCUUAGGGUCGUAAAGCUCUUUCGCCUGUGAAGAUAAUGACGGUAGCAGGUAAAGAAACCCCGGCUAACUCCGUGCCAGCAGCCGCGGUAAUACGGAGGGGGUUAGCGUUGUUCGGAAUUACUGGGCGUAAAGCGCACGUAGGCGGACCAGAAAGUUGGGGGUGAAAUCCCGGGGGCUCAACCCCGGAACUGCCUCCAAAACUAUUGGUCUAGAGUUCGAGAGAGGUGAGUGGAAUUCCAAGUGUAGAGGUGAAAUUCGUAGAUAUUUGGAGGAACACCAGUGGCGAAGGCGGCUCACUGGCUCGAUACUGACGCUGAGGUGCGAAAGUGUGGGGAGCAAACAGGAUUAGAUACCCUGGUAGUCCACGCCGUAAAACGAUGAAUGUUAGCCGUCGGGCAGUAUACUGUUCGGU
rnacentral:rRNA from 1 species